rnacentral:rRNA from 1 species
GGGUGCAGCAGGCGCGAAAACUUUAAAGGAAGGGAAACGGUGAUAAGGGAACUCCGAGUGUCCGCCAAUGAAAAACUGUCCGUAUGUUUAAAAAGCAUGCGAAGAAAGGGCCGGGCAAGACCGGUGCCAGCCGCCGCGUUUCCACCGGCGGCUCGAGUGGUAACCGUUAUUAUUGGGUCUAAAGGGUCUGUAGCCGGCCGGACAAGUCUCUUGAGAAAUCCAGCAGCUCAACUGUUGGGCUUUCAGGAGAUACUGUUCGGCUCGAGGCCGGGAGAGGUGAGAGGUACUUCAGGGGUAGGGGUGAAAUCUUGUAAUCCUUGAAGGACCACCAGUGGCGAAGGCGUCUCACCAGAACGGACCUGACGGCAAGGGACGAAAUUUUGGGGUUUUUAACCGGGUUAGAUACCCGGGUAGUCCUAGCCGUAAACUAUGCGGACUUGGUGUGAGGGUGGCUUUGAGCCGUCCUGGUGCCCAAGGGAAGCUGUUAAGUCCGCCGCCUGGGAAGUACGGUCGCAAGACUGAAACUUAAAGGAAUUUGGCGGGGGGAAAGGGCGAAUUC